rnacentral:rRNA from 1 species
UACGUAGGGACCAAGCGUUGUUCGGAUUUACUGGGCGUAAAGGGCGCGUAGGCGGCAAUUCAAGUCAGUUGUGAAAUCUCCGAGCUUAACUCGGAACGGUCAACUGAUACUGUUUUGCUAGAGUGCAGAAAGGGCAACCGGAAUUCUUGGUGUAGCGGUGAAAUGCGUAGAUAUCGAGAGGAACACCUGCGGCGAAGGCGGGUAGCUGGGCCGACACUGACGCUGAGGCGCGAAAGCCAGGGGAGCGAACGGG